rnacentral:rRNA from 1 species
UACGUAGGGUGCAAGCGUUAAUCGGAAUCACUGGGCUUAAAGCGUGUGUAGGCGGGGCGUUAAGUGUCUUGUGAAAUCCCACCGCUCAACGGUGGAACUGCUGGGCAUACUGGCGAUCUUGAGCCACCUAGGGGCAGACGGAACAAGCGGUGGAGCGGUGAAAUGCGUAGAUAUCGCUUGGAACGCCGACGGUGAAAACAGUCUGCUGGGGGUGUGCUGACGCUGAGACACGAAAGCCAGGGGAGCGAACGGG